rnacentral:snRNA from 1 species
AUCUUAGUGGAAGGGCUUUACGCGUAUUAGUGAGGAAACAUCCGAGAUCGUGUUAUUGCUGGUUGAAAACUACCAACCUGACCUACUUCAAGUGGGCCUCUGGGAACACUUGGGAAUUUUUGAAACAAUACUGC